rnacentral:ncRNA from 2 species
GAGUAUCACUAGGGGUGCCGCCAUGGUUUGGCGGCUGAGAUCAGACCCUCCGAACCUGAUGCGGUUUGCACCGCCGUAGGGAAGUGAGCUUGUCGUGAU